UGCCGGGUAACGCCCGGGCGGGCCGGGCGGAUCUGUCCGCCGGGUCCGACGGAGAGCGCCACAGAAAACAGACUACCCUGCGUGCAGGGCAAAGGUGAAACGGUGGGGUAAGAGCCCACCGCGCCCCUGGCAACAGGGGCGGCACGGCAAGCCCCACCGGGAGCAAUGCCGAAUAGGACCCCCGCGCGGGCCGGUCCCCCUCGGGGGAUACCGCCGCUAGGCCCGCUUCAGCCGAGAGGGGUCGGGUUGGCAGCUUGAGGCGCGCGGCAACGCGUGGCCCAGAGGAAUGGUCGCCCGGUGGCGGGUCAUGGCCCGCCAUGGACAGAAUCCGGCUUACAGGCCCUCCGCGCGU
rnacentral:RNase_P_RNA from 1 species